rnacentral:rRNA from 1 species
GACGAACGCUGGCGGCGUGCUUAACACAUGCAAGUCGAACGGAAAGGCCCUGCUUGCUGGGUACUCGAGUGGCGAACGGGUGAGUAACACGUGGGUGAUCUGCCCUGCACUUCGGGAUAAGCCUGGGAAACUGGGUCUAAUACCGGAUAGGAGCCAUUUUUAGUGUGAUGGUUGGAAAGUUUUUUCGGUGUAGGAUGAGCUCGCGGCCUAUCAGCUUGUUGGUGGGGUAAUGGCCUACCAAGGCGGCGACGGGUAGCCGGCCUGAGAGGGUGGACGGCCACAUUGGGACUGAGAGACGGCCCAGACUCCGACGGGAGGCAGAAGUGGGGAAUAUUGCACAAUGCGCGCAAGCCUGAUGCAGAGACGCCGCGGGGGGGAUGACGGCCUUCGGGUUGUAAAAUCCUUUCGCUAGGGACGAAGCUUUUUGUGACGGUACCUAGAUAAGAAGCACCGGCUAACUACGUG